rnacentral:rRNA from 1 species
AAGCGGACCUCAUAAAGUGCGUCGUAGUCCGGAUUGGAGUCUGCAACUCGACUCCAUGAAGUCGGAAUCGCUAGUAAUCGUGGAUCAGAAUGCCACGGUGAAUACGUUCCCGGGCCUUGUACACACCGCCCGUCACACCAUGGGAGUGGGUUGCAAAAGAAGUAGGUAGCUUAACCUUCGGGGGGGGCGCUUACCACUUUGUGAUUCAUGACUGGGGUGAAGUCGUAACAAGGUAACCGUAGGGGAACCUGCGGUUGGAUCACCUCCUUA